rnacentral:rRNA from 1 species
CACACCAAUGUAGCGGGGCUCAAGCACACCACCGAAGACGCGGCAGUAUUUUGUACUGGGUAGGAGAGCGUCCCAUGAGGGGCGAAGCGGCCGUGUGAACGCGCCGUGGACUUCAUGGGAGUGAGAAUGCAGACAUGAGUAGCGAGAGACGGGUGAAGAUCCCGUCCGCUGGAUGACCAAGGGUUCCAGGGCCACGUUCAUCGUCCCUGGGUGAGUCGGGUCCUAAGGCGAGGCCGACAGGCGUAGUCGAAUGGAUGAACGGGUCGAUAUUCCCGUACCGGCUUUCAGCCGCCAAAACCGAGGCUUGGAGUACUAACCUCCGGGUCCGGGCUUACUGCUCCUUCGGGGGCGGGAUGCCCUGGCCUGUUGGGACCGAUCCUUGUAGUAGGUCAGCGCAGGAGUGACGCAGAAGGGUAGCCGGCCGCGGAGGUGGUCUUCCGUGGUCAAGCACGCAGGGCGUGGGACAGGCAAAUCCGUCCCGCAUGGGUCCGAGGUGCGAUGAUGGGGGCCUUAUGGCCCGAUAUCCGGUGAUCCCGGCUGCCGAGAAAAGCUUCGGCGUCAGGCUCGAAGCCGCCCGUACCCCAAACCGACACUGGUGGUCAGGUAGAGAAUACCAAAGCGAUCGAGCGAAUCCUGGUCAAGGAACUCGGCAAAUCACUCCCGUUCCUUCGGUUUAAGGGAGACCCCCGAUGGUGAACACACUUGCUGUGGGAGCUUUUGGGGGUGGCACAGACCAGGGGGUAGCGACUGUUUACCAAAAACACAGGUGCAUGCGAAGGCGAAAGCCGCUGUAUAUGCACUGACGCCUGCCCGGUGCCGGAAGGUUAAGAGGAUCCGUCAGCCUUCGGGUGAAGCGGUGAAUUCAAGCCCCGGUAAACGGCGGUGGUAACUAUAACCAUCCUAAGGUAGCGAAAUUCCUUGUCGGGUAAGUUCCGACCUGCACGAAUGGCGUAACGACUUCCCCACUGUCUCGACCAGGAGCUCGGCGAAAUUGCAGUACGAGUAAAGAUGCUCGUUAAGCGCAGAAGGACGAAAAGACCCCGGGACCUUUACUAUACCUUGGUAUUGGCGUUAGGCGCGGAUUGUGUAGCAUAGGCGGGAGGCUUCGAAGCGUGGGCGCCAGCUCAUGUGGAGCCGCAAGGUGAAAUACCGCUCUGUUCUCGUUUGACGUCUAACCUCGACAAGUCAUCCUUGUCAGGGACAGUGCCUGGCGGGUAGUUCAACUGGGGCGGUUGCCUCCCAAAGAGUAACGGAGGCGCCCAAAGGUCCGCUCAGCCCGGUUGGCAAUCGGGUGGCGAGUGCAAGUGCACAAGCGGGCUUGACUGCGAGGACGACGGUCCGAGCAGGGACGAAAGUCGGGACUAGUGAUCCGGUGCCGGUGUACGGACGCGGCAUCGCUCAACGGAUAAAAGGUACCCCGGGGAUAACAGGCUGAUCAUUCCCAAGAGUCCAUAUCGACGGGAUGGUUUGGCACCUCGAUGUCGGCUCGUCGCAUCCUGGGGCUGGAGCAGGUCCCAAGGGUUCGGCUGUUCGCCGAUUAAAGCGGCACGCGAGCUGGGUUCAGAACGUCGUGAGACAGUUUGGUCUCUAUCCUCUGCGCUCGUUGGAAUGCUGAGGAGGCCUGCCCAUAGUACGAGAGGACCUGGGUGGACGAACCUCUGGUAUGCCGGUUGUCGCGCCAGCGGCACGGCCGGUUGGCUACGUUCGGGAGGGAUAACCGCUGAAAGCAUCUAAGCGGGAAGCCUGCUCCAAGAUUAGGAUUCCGUACGGUCUUGAACCGUUGUAGCCCGCAUGUUGAACACGUGUUUGAUAUUAUGCAACGCUUUCCAGUGUCUAUCCGUUAAGCGC